GAUGAACGCUGGCGGCGUGCCUAAUACAUGCAAGUCGAGCGAACGGACGAGAAGCUUGCUUCUCUGAUGUUAGCGGCGGACGGGUGAGUAACACGUGGAUAACCUACCUAUAAGACUGGGAUAACUUCGGGAAACCGGAGCUACUACCGGAUAAUAUUUUGAACCGCAUGGUUCAAAAGUGAAAGACGGUCUUGCUGUCACUUAUAGAUGGAUCCGCGCUGCAUUAGCUAGUUGGUAAGGUAACGGCUUACCAAGGCAACGAUGCAUAGCCGACCUGAGAGGGUGAUCGGCCACACUGGAACUGAGACACGGUCCAGACUCCUACGGGAGGCAGCAGUAGGGAAUCUUCCGCAAUGGGCGAAAGCCUGACGGAGCAACGCCGCGUGAGUGAUGAAGGUCUUCGGAUCGUAAAACUCUGUUAUUAGGGAAGAAAAUAUGUGUAAGUAACUGUGCACAUCUUGACGGUACCUAAUCAGAAAGCCACGGCUAACUACGUG
rnacentral:rRNA from 1 species